UAGCUCAGCGGUAGAGCACUUCAUUCACAUUGAAGGGGUCGUAGGUUCAAAUCC
rnacentral:tRNA from 1 species